rnacentral:rRNA from 1 species
CCCUUAGAUGUCCUGGGCCGCACGCGCGCUACACUGAGUGUCUGAGAUACGAGUCUGCCUGGUCCGGCAAGGUCUAGGUAAUCGCUAAAAGACACAUCAUGCUUGGGAUAGAUUAUUGCAAUUAUUAAUCUUCAACGAGGAAUGCCUAGUAGGCGCAAGUCAUCAGCUUGCGUCGAUUACGUCCCUGCCCUUUGUACACACCGCCCGUCGCUCCUACCGAUUGGGUGUGCUGGUGAAAUGUUCGGAUCGGCCGUUUGUCGCGGUUUCCGCGUCAUGUGGCUGAGAAGUUCAUUAAACCCUCCCACCUAGAGGAAGGAGAAGUCGUAACA